CUUAACUUUUCUGGAAAAAUCAGGAGCUUCACUGAAGUCAAUGGAGUAUGAAUGGUAUAUAAUAUCUGGUAAGUGCUGAAUCAUUAAAUAGCAUUUAAUUGAGCAGAGUAAUAAAGUAACUCAAGAAUGGGAUCCUAUUAAACUUUAUAUAUCUCCUUGCAAUGACUAUAGUGUGAAAUGUUUUCUGUAGUCUGAGCAGCUGUUAACACUGGAGAAGAUGGUGCAUGCUGUAUUUUCACUGUGCCUAUUUUUGCUGCCUUCUCAUUGUGCUGAGAUGAUGUAAGACUCUGGGAAUACCUGAUCCAGUUAACCAGAUUGACUUAGUGACCUUGUGUCACGCACUGUGACUGAUGCAUUUUGAUUUUUACAAACUGCAAAAGUUAGUUUUGCUGAUGGGCAGGACAACCCUGCAGGAUAACCAACAACUUAGUAUUUUUCCAGUAUUCCAGAAAUAAAAAGGCAAAGUUCAUUAGUCCUUGCACAGCUCAAAAACUGGGAACCUGGAUUCUUUCCUCUGAAACUCAACGUUUUGCAGUAGCAACCAGAAAAUGAUAAUAAAUAACCAGUGUCUGUGUGGAUGGUCCUUGCCUUAGUUACUAUUUAGAAGCUCUUAUCUGUUAUAAAACCCUGUAAUUCUCCAGUCCUUGCAGGAAGUGCGGAUGAAUGAACAUUCAUUGAACUACAUGACCAAAACUGUAUGUGUUCUAAAGGAUAUCUGUUGAAAAAAUAAAGAAAUUAAGUUCAGUUUUCCCUAUAUUCCUUUUUAAUAGUAUAAAGCAGGUAGAUCUUUUGCUGAUAAUAUGGAACACUGACUGUUUUUAUGCUCCUGUUUGCACAAAAUCUUAUUAGAGAUUCUGAUCACAAUCAUCCCCCAGAACUAUGAGACCAUAUCUUUCUAAUAAUUAUGUUGUUAUUAAUCAAUAAGCAUUUAAAUGAUUUCAUCUGUACUCUGCUGUUAAAUUUCUGAAGAAGUAAGGGCUAUUCUGGUAGGCAUUGAUACUUGCAAUGUUUUCUACCAUCAUCGUCGCUCCUUGAAUCCCUUUGUUCUUCAUCCUGCCUCAGAUUUUCAUUACCUCCUUCUGGCUUUUAUCUUUUCAAACUCAGGAAAUACUUUGUUCUUGGGAUCUUUUCCAAAUUCACUAAAGGCUUUGCUCUUGGGACCUCAUCUUUCAGUUUGCCUUAUGAAAUACCUGUCCUUUUUAAGUACGCUGCAAAACAACAAUAGCAUCCUGAGGCAUGAAAUGGAUUUAGACCCUCAGCACUUUCCAUGGGAUUCACUUAGCUGGGAAGAGUCAUUUAUCAUCUCUAGAGAAAAGAGAUGUGAGCAGCAGAAGAGAGAGUUUUACAGGAACAGCUGAUGCCUGAGUGCUGUAAGAGCAAUGGACAGAGCAGAGGCUCCUCAGGGGCUGCAGGAAGCUCUGCCAGUGGUUGUACCUGUUUAGGAAAACAUAUCAGCUAAAUGAAAGUCAGCGUGCAUCUGCUGCAUAAGUUGCAGGCUGCCUCACAUCUUGGCUCAGUUUAGGGCAUAUGGUUCUAGUUUAGUUGAAAGAAUUUUACCUAAAUGUUUUGUAACCUAUCUACCAUCUUGGUUCAGUGGUACCAUCCUUACUUUUCUUGAUAUGUCAUUUUUCCAAUUUAUCUGUAUUGGCGGUGAACUGGGUUGGAUUAACUUGCAUUAUAUUUAAAAGUUUUACUAUAUGGUUAACUUAUGUGUGUUAUUCAUUGCCUCAUUGUGAUGCUUUCUCAAAAUAGUAAUUCUGUGAACUGGGUGGAUAAAAUAAUUUUAAUAUAUAUAACUUACUCUGGUGACCUUCCCCAGUAUUUGGUUUCUGCUGUUCUCUCUAACUGAACCUCCUAAUAAUUUGUGAUGAAACUUACAGAAGUUUAAAAAACACAAACUGAUAACAAGGUGUACUGACAAGCUGAAAAAGCCAGAGCUGGCCUGGGUUUUUCUGUUUUGCUGGGGUCUGGGUUGGGAGGAGGACAAAGUUGUUGCAUUAGGUGAGAUCUGUAUCAGACUGUAAAAGGGGUUGUGCAUCAUCCCUAGUGAUACAUAAGGACUGUUAUUCUGUCACUCCCAAGGUGAAUGUGGACUGAGUUCCACUCUGUGCUGACUGGGGGGCACUAAUAAGGUCCAAGUGUUAUCUGUGGGUUAGAAAAGAAUCUGUGAAGCCUCAAAAAUGGAUGUUGUGUACAAGCCUCCAGGUAAGUUUCCUGGUAUGUAUCUCCUAGUGCCAGGUACAACCUCUUCUUCAUCAUGCCAGCUUCAAAAAUAUUGGCACCUCAGGGAGAAGGGGCAUGGACUUCCAGGUUGGAUUUCAGCUGAGGAUACAGCAUCUCAUCUGCUCACAGAGGGGCUUUGCUGUGUCCUGUCUCUACAUACACAUACAUAUUAUGUGUACGUUCUGGUUUGGGAUUAGGCAUGUGCCCUCAGCUCCUGCACAGCUGGUGUGCCUCAGAGUUAAACACUUUUUAUUAUGAAAUACAGGUAAUUAGAUGGCUUCAACACUGAGCAGACAGCUGUGUAUUUAAAUGUGACCUUAUACCCAGUCAGUCCCCUAACCUGCAUUUUGAAUAUGGUAUUUAGGUAAAUGCUGCGCUGAGCCUGAGGAAUUGUUAAAAGUGACACAACGGUAUGCUAAUGCAAUUAGAUGACUUGCAGUGCUGAGAUUUGCCCUUUGUUUGGGCUCAGUUGCAGUUUAACCAGAUGCAAAAAUAUGUAGACAGUAACUUGUACAUUGCUGAAACAAGCCUAGCAGGGCAAAGGUGAGAUCCACGUGUCAAAGGUGGUGCUACAGACAGCUGCCACAAGAUCUGCCAGUGACACUUCAUAUUUCCAGUUGAGAGAGCACUGGGAGGAGGCUUCAAAGCAGUGAGUACCAUCUGGACAUGUCUGUGAGAGCUUGGGAUCUGUUGUUUGGGGUGGGGGGAUUUGUUAUCAGUAGAAGGUUGCUCACUGUGUGUUGAGGUUAUCUUGACACAGGAGGAGAGGCUCCAAACACCUGAUCUGCACCAUGUUUGUGCAGCCAUGGUGAAUCAGUGCUACUUUGCCCCUUUGCUGCUUGGAGGUGCUACCCAGAUGUCAAGUCUCAAUCUGUAAAUGAUGCAAGGAUUUGGAAAGCAGAAUAAUGAGUAGAGACACUGUCCUGCCAGUAAUUGCUGGAAGCAGAGGAGAAGGGAGCUGUAGGAUACUGGCACGUGGAGAAGCGCAGAGAUAUUCCUACUCUGACUGACAGUUUCUAAU